GACGAACGCUGGCGGCGUGCUUAACACAUGCAAGUCGAACGGAAAGGCCCUGCUUUUGUGGGGUGCUCGAGUGGCGAACGGGUGAGUAACACGUGAGUAACCUGCCCUUGACUUUGGGAUAACUUCAGGAAAAUGGGGCUAAUACCGGAUAGGAGCUCCUGCUGCAUGGUGGGGGUUGGAAAGUUUCGGCGGUUGGGGAUGGUCUCGCUGCUUAUCAGCUUGAUUGUGAGGUAGUGGCUUUCCAAGGCUUUGACGGGUAGCCGGCCUGGGAGGCUGACCGGGCACAUGGGGACUGAGAGACGGCCCAGACUCCUACGGGAGGCAGCAGUGGGGAAUAUUGCACAAUGGGGGGAAGCGUGAGGUAGCAACGCCGCGUGCGUGAUGACGGCUUACGGGGGGUAAACCGCUUUCGCCGGUGACGAAGCGGUAGUGACGGUAAUGGGUAAAGAAGCACCGGCUAACUACGUG
rnacentral:rRNA from 1 species